rnacentral:rRNA from 1 species
UGGGGAAUCUUCGGCAAUGGGCGAAAGCCUGACCGAGCCAUGCCGCGUGAGUGAUGACGGCCUUAGGGUUGUAAAGCUCUUUCGACGGGGACGAUAAUGACGGUACCCGUAGAAGAAGCCCCGACUAACUUCGUGCCAGCAGCCGCGGUAAUACGAAGGGGGCUAGCGUUGUUCGGAAUUACUGGGCGUAAAGCGCACGUAGGCGGACCGUUAAGUCGGGGGUGAAAUCCCGGGGCUCAACCCCGGAACUGCCUCCGAUACUGGCGGUCUUGAGUCCGAGAGAGGAUGGUGGAACACCGAGUGUAGAGGUGAAAUUCGUAGAUAUUCGGAGGAACACCAGUGGCGAAGGCGGCUCACUGGCUCGGUACUGACGCUGAGGUGCGAAAGCGUGGGGAGCAAACAGGAUUAGAUACCCCCGUAGUCC